rnacentral:rRNA from 1 species
UCCUGGCUCAGAUUGAACGCUGGCGGCAUGCUUUACACAUGCAAGUCGAACGGCAGCGCGGGCUUCGGCCUGGCGGCGAGUGGCGAACGGGUGAGUAAUACAUCGGAACGUGCCCAGUAGUGGGGGAUAGCUCGGCGAAAGCCGGAUUAAUACCGCAUACGACCUGAGGGUGAAAGCGGGGGAUCUUCGGACCUCGCGCUAUUGGAGCGGCCGAUGGCAGAUUAGCUAGUUGGUGGGGUAAAGGCCUACCAAGGCGACGAUCUGUAGCUGGUCUGAGAGGACGACCAGCCACACUGGGACUGAGACACGGCCCAGACUCCUACGGGAGGCAGCAGUGGGGAAUUUUGGACAAUGGGCGAAAGCCUGAUCCAGCAAUGCCGCGUGAGGGAUGGAGGCCUUCGGGUUGUGAACCUCUUUCGCCAGUGAAGCAGGCCUGCCUCGUUUGUGGGUGGGUUGACGGUAGCUGGAUAAGAAGCGCCGGCUAACUAC